CAAACACCCCUCCAGUACCUCCCACCCCAACAUCCCCACACCCCUCCUAGACCUCCCACCUCCACACCCAUCCUAAAUCUCCCACCACCAGUCCCCAGAUAUAAUGGUCCAGACAUCAAGUGUCCUGCUCCCCCCCUCAAUUUAAUGGUCCAGACCUUGGAGAUCCUGCGACUCCCCCCUUAAUAAAUUGGUCCAGACCUCCAGGGUCCUGCUCCCCCCUUCUCCUUAAAUGUACUGGUCCAGACCUACAGGGUCCUGCUCCCCCCUUCUCCUUAAAUGUACUGGUCCAGACCUCCAGGGUCCUGCUCCCCCCUCCUCCCUAGAUAUAAUGGUCCAGGACUCCAGAGUAAAUGUUACCAGUCCCAGAGUCAGCCAGCCCUCACCUCACAGCCACUUGAACGUCUGCGCGCCCACACUCCAGCAGCGCUGCCAGGCCCAGCAGCACGCAGCUUCGCUGUACGCUCCGCCUCUUCCACUUCCGGCCAGUAGGACUGCCGCCCAGACUGGGAGUGGGACCACUC